GUCAUUUUUUCAAUACUCCUUGGUUAAAUUUGGGUGGGGGCUCUUAAAGCAUGUCUGGCUCUUGGCAUAUCAUAACGUGUCAUGUACCUGGUGUUCCAGCUGAAGGUAUCUCCUUCAUUCUCUGUGGGAGUUUUUAGGCAUAGCCAAAUAUUUGGAAUGAGGAAAAAGUAUUGAAUAAAAAUGAAGUUUGGAUCUGUAAUAUUCCACAGCUGUGAACUCACCAGUUAAGUAUCAACUCUCGGUAGUGUUUUUGAAGCAUGGAGAGACUUGACAUUCAUACCAAUGCUAAAGUAAACAGAAUUCUUGGAAAAUGGUAAUACUGUGGUAGUAAUGAGUUACAUAUUAAGAUUUGACUACUAGCAAAUUUUGGGGGGCUUAGGGAGGGAGUUUGAUGUGUGAGGCUUCUGCCUCUAGCUCACUCUAGUACCUUUGUUAUGCCCUGGAUAAUAAGGUUCAGCAUUCUACUUAAAGUGCUCUGGAAAAGGUAUUUCACUUGCACAUUGUUGCAAUAAGUGAGUCCUGUUCAGAACGUUGUUCUAGCUCACUUUCAGAUUUAAGUGUCUUCCAGUGUCAAAUGGAAUUUCCUUCCUUGCCAUCACUAACAAGGUUGGUGGUGUAUCUCUUGUCUUUCCAGAUAUGAAUAUUCAGUAGCUUAUUCUGAACUGGACUGUUACUUAGCAAGUGAUAGACAAAUGUGUUUUAAAUUGCUCGAGCUGAAAUGAGGCAGUUCACCUGUGGGUUUUAUGCCUUUUAAAGUUCAAAAGGGUAGCAGACAUCUUUAGGUACAGAUCAUAUCAAGCUGUCUAGACCAUAGAUAGACCAUAUCAAGCUAUCUAGAAGUGCAACCUAAUGAAAUUUUUACUGUGUCCAUAUUCUCAGUGGGGGGUAGAAUUAAUAAGUUAAUUAGAGUGGAUUCCUGAAAGUGCAGUCUUUGCUUCUGCUAUGCUGUGGUGGUUUUUCAAGAUACAUAAGCCAGACACUGUUAGUGUCUAGGUGGCAGCCUAAUCCUGGUAUUUUUGGCUGCUCUGUUGCCAUUUAAAUCAAGCAUGCUUCCACCCAGUCAUGUCAGUUUUGGUGGUUUUCCUUUGCAUAUUGGAAGCUGGCUAGAGAACUCUGUGCACCACUGUUGCCCGUUCUGUAGGUAAAGUUGUUUUCAUGAGAACAACUGCAGAAGCUGGCUCUCACUGUGAUAAGCAACCUCUUAAAAAAAAAAAAAUUUUCUGAACUAGUUGAAUCAGGUGUGCAGUUGGAUCUAACUACAAAGGCUCACUCUUAGUUGAGAAUAAGCUUUAGCAAGACUCACUUCAGCACAGUGGGGGCUCAAGCAGAGUAAACUCAGAGGCAUUUUCAUUGGUAACAUGGCUCUCUUUGUGUCCAUGUACUGUUUCCUAGCAUCUGCUUUGUACAGAAGUGAUUUAUGGAAGUCACUUCUCUCUGUAGCAUGGGAAUCUGAGCCAUGAUGUAUAAAGUCAUCCAUAUUUCAUAACCUGAUACAGGGUCAUGAGGAAGUUCUGUACUCUGUACUGGCACUGCAGGGACUAGAAAUGCCCUCUUCCCCUUCAUCAGCUGGUUGACAAGAUUACAUGUCAGUCUCCUUCUGGAUUAGGUUCUCCUGAUAUCAGUUACAAUCUGGUCCUUGACACAAAUGCUUUUGUGCUAAUCCUUUAGUGACUAGGCUUGUGUUUGGCCUCAUAACUGUUUUUAGGUUAUUGCCUACAAUGUCUGCAUUCCUCCAACUUCUCCCCCUCUUUUCUUUAACAUUAAGGAAGUUGUGAUUACACCAUCUCCCAAACUCAUUUCCCAUUUAUUGUAGGGCUUCUCAAAACUGUUUUGAUUUUGAAUCCUGUGAGAGAUCUUCAGCUGUGUAGGGCUAUGCUUAUCUUCCUAUUUGUCAGGCUGUUCAAAAGUGCUUUGCUGCUUCUGGGUAAUGUGAGGGAACAUGAGAACCUGAUGAUGGUGAGUAGCAGUCCAGGCAAGUGUUCAGGACUAAGGUUUUGAGGGGAGUUUUUGACUGGCAUGUGAAAGAGUGAGGCUUUGUUUUGUGCUGGUAGGCUUCCUGGUGGGAAUGGAGUAUUUCUUCAUUGGUGAUGUGAAUGGGCUGAAUUAGAUUUGAAGAAUAAUGCUAAAACUUUGCUGCCCUCAGCCCUCUUUUAGUGAAGCAGGGGUUGAUAUGAAUGACCUAUGAUCUAUGCACCAAGUGGUGCACUGUGGAAGCAGAGUUGGUGUAUUGACUUCUCAGAAAUAGGUACAAAUAUACAUCUAAAGACCACGGUAUUAUAACUUUCUGACCAUCCUCUUUGAUGGGGGAAAAUCCCUCUUUUUUUGAUCAUGUAACUCCUAAAUCCAUCAUAAGCACAUCUGAAAACUUUGACAGAAGCUGUGGUAACAAAGUACUUAAUAAUUUAAUAUUUCCUGGAACAUCAAACCCAAUUCUAGGUGUGUGCCCUAGACUAAAACUUGAGAAGAGUAUCCUUUAGGUAUCAGUGCACUCUUUAAACUGUAUGCUGCAUCUGAAAUGUGUUAAAAUUGGAUUUUUAGCCUUGCCUCUUCUGUCUCCAACCCUGUUACCUCUGACCCAUAUUAUAGCUCUGCAAGGUAGUUAACAACUUUGUUGACAAAAGCUGGGGAUUUUGAACCCAGAAUUUAAUCUUGUGAUACUGGUUAUCACAAUCACCUUGCUUACCUUGUAAUCUUUGUACUACAGGGAAACUUGUUCUUCUCUACUGUUCUGCUUUCAAGCCUUUAAUGGUAGCUAAAAGCAAAAUUAUCAUGACAAAAAACUAGGAGAAUGUUAAAGGGGUAUAGGUUCUCACUUCUCUUUCAGCUCCAGUGCUGUUACACUGAAAUCUUUAGUGUAACUUCAGGGUACUUGAGAAUGAGUUUUUGGAAGUAAGAAACCUCUUGAGAGAGUAAAUUCUGGUAAACAAAAUCUUUGCCCUUAAUAUCAGCUUUCCAUUAUUAGUGCUCUGAUGGGCAAUCUUUGAAAUAAAAUGUGGCUGGAAACUGGGAACUGUGAAUGCUUGAAAAGAAGUUAAAGCCUUUAAGAAAAGCUGAGUAGUUAGUUCAAGGUGAUACAUGUUUUACUCUGAAGUGCCAAGUAACUUCAAGAACUACACAUCUGAUGCUUGGCGUUUUAAGAUGUAUUUAUAUAACUUCAAAUAUAACUUCAGCAGUCCCUGAACUGUCACUGCAGUCAGUGAAGGGAUGGAUGUAUCUUCACCUGCUCCCUGGAUGUGUAUUGACAUACCCAGUUCUAUAAGAGAUGGGGUUCAAAGGACAGAAUUACUUCAGUCUGAGCUAAUAGUCAUAAGACUCCCAAAAGCUGCCUUUGUGCCUGGCUGUAACAUACCCAAUCUUGUGGUACUGGUGGCUGGGCAGGCUCAUCUUUGAAGUGAUGCUUUGGUCCCGUAGCGUGGGAUGUGCUCCACGUUCACAGCCCAUUCUCUCACCAUAAUGUGAGAAAAUGUUAUGAUGUAAGGAGGGGGAAGAAGCAAGCUUGGAAAGGCAAUGCUGAACUGCAUUAGACUUAACCAAAAUUUGAGUGAAUUAGGGAAAAAAUUAGGGUGACAGUUCAGUGAGGGAGUCUUAGUUCUCUUUCUCCUCACUUUAAUGUUGAUGUAUAUCAUCCAUGUGAUUCACUCUCUUUGGGCAGGGGCAACACUUGCAUGUAGAAGUGUGUGGCUUGGCCCCUUAAAAGCCUGAUUUUUCCACCAGGCCUUCGUAUUUGCUUCUCAGAAUACUAAACUGUAGUUUAAAACAUGAGCACUUAGCAGAAGUGCUAAGAAGCAGCAGUUGGUAGAAGAGGGGAUGGGAGAGCAGAGUUCAGAUUGGUUUGACAUAGUGUAAUUUAAAGGUUGUGUGUAUAUAUAGCUGUGAUGGAAUUGUGCAUUGGUAUGUGCUGCUAAAACUUGCUCUUUGAGCAGUACUGUGAAAGGGUGGGUAUGACAUAGGGGAGUGACAAGGAUCUCUCUGCAUGCCAUUUUGUAUUUAUCUGGGGUUAUUAACUAAUUCCUGCUUUAGUCACACUUAUCUAAGCGUGAAUGUUCCUUUUGAUACUUCCUGAUUAAAACUUCUGGAAAACAAUACUAUUACUAUACUGAGCAGUGGUUACCCAGUAUAUUAUGCUGUGGUAGUGACCUGAAUAACUCACUCAUUAUGGACAUGGUUAUGGUGCAGAUGAAACAGCAUUUACAGGUUGUAACAGGCCAGUGUCGAUAAACUUGCUAAUUUUGAGUUGACAGUUUUAAGUAUUUCAUACUCCAUGAAACAUACUAUUAGCCAAGCAUUCUAAUCACUUGAUAGCUUUGGAGAGUACUUAGUUAUAAAUUAGCUAGUAUUGGUCACAAUUCUUUCUAUACUAUGGCUCUUUUCAAUAGAAAUAUAAUAAAUGCCUUUAGAAUAUAGCUGCAGGUAUGAGUAUUUUGUAAAAUGAAUUGGCUAUGAAAUGUCAUAUUGUUGAUGACUGAAAGUUAUGACAGGAAUGAGAAUGUAAUAAGUACUGCAAAACAUUUCAGAUAUGCCCUUCAGUCCUUUCAAAUUUAAAAAGGGGGUAAGAGCCAUGUGUGCUUUCUUAAAGGCCUCUAGUAAUAAGGGAGAUGUCCCUGGUAGAAAGGAGUGGGAGACUUCAGAGGUGGUCAUGAGAUUGGGAAAGAAGUAAAGACACUUCAGCAGCUGUUUGGAUCUCCACCCUCUAGUGUAGACAAAAUUGAUGUGCCUGUGACUGGGUCUUGUUAAUCACAGAAAUUUGGGUUGUGAAAUGGUGUUUGCUGACAGUCAUGUCAUCUUACUACUCCCUAGUGUCAGUUACUGUUUGCUUUACUGCUUUAAAUGGUGAAAUGCUUUAGGAAGAGCUCCGAGUCCACUGAAAGCUUAAACUCAGAAUAAUUCACAGUAAAUGGGUUCUCUGAGACUUUCUCUGCAUUGCAACAACUUGCCAAGAAAAAAAGCAACUGUGGACAGAUGUCUUCUCUGUUGAUAAAAAGUAGAUCUUUUGAGCAUUGCAGAUUAAUUCAGAGAUGUUGCUUCCUUGAAAUGGCAUCUUGAUAUUUGAGUGCAUGCUUUGACUCUUCCAUAUUGGCUCGAUUACCCAGUCUUAAACUGUGGUCUAAAUGUUUCAUUUGGCAGUUCUGCUGUCCUGGUUGGUGUGUAGUGCUGUGUCAUAUGUUAACUGCCAGUAACUGAUACCAGCUUGUCACCCAGUCUGUUACAUACUCAGUAAUUACUCUUACUGGUACUAAAUACCUGUAUGAGAUGCAACAUUAAACUGCACCUCGAAGUCCAUGCUGUGAUGCAAUAUCCUUGUAUUCCUGUCUUUGUAGAAAUUAAUUCAAAACUACUCUCCUGCCUUUGACACUAAGUUUGAUUGAAGAUUUUAACUUCUAAUUAUCUCCUGAAGGUUGUUUGUGUAUUUAAAUGUACAGUGAUUCAUUAUUACUUAAAUAUUAGGAUGUUAAUGACUGCUUUGGGCAUUGCUUGUGAACCUUGGCAGUCUGAUUUUGAAUAUGCUUCAGCAUAUUAAAGGUGCAUCUUUUAACUGGCUUUUGUAUCUACUAUUUUAAAGAAUGCUUGUUACUUGAAAAGGCUCCACUUAAAAACGUAGUUUUUGAGUGAUGCCAAAAAUGUCUUUCCACAUCACAGGUCAGUUUUGGGGUUUAUUUGGAAUAACUUUUCUCUUACUCGGGCACUAAACAUAAUGAAAAGGUGUCACGAUAAAACUGAUUUAGUAUGUUGGCCAUUUGGUUAUGGGCUGUGUGAUAUAAACUACUGAAAGUGAUGUAAAUAGUUUUCUCUAAGUGGAAGUAACAACAGUGAACUUUCAUGUUCAAAGUAAUUUUGUUUGGACUAGUGAUGUGGGGCGAAUCUCUGCAAUCAGUUUGGAUUUGAAAUAAUGUCACCUUCUGUGCACUGUCAGAUUUUUUUCCAGUUUAAAUGUACAGGAUGAAUAAAUGUUUUUUCUAAUGUAUGUCAUGACAGUUGAAAUUAAACUACUGUUUUCUUUGAA